rnacentral:rRNA from 1 species
GUUGCUCGUGAAAUCUCACGGCUUAACUGUGAGCGUGCGGGCGAUACGGGCAGGCUUGAGUACUGCAGGGGAGACUGGAAUUCCUGGUGUAGCGGUGGAAUGCGCAGAUAUCAGGAGGAACACCGGUGGCGAAGGCGGGUCUCUGGGCAGUAACUGACGCUGAGGAGCGAAAGCGUGGGGAGCGAACAGGAUUAGAUACCCUGGUAGUCCACGCCGUAAACGGUGGGUACUAGGUGUGGGUUUCCUUCCUUGGGAUCCGUGCCGUAGCUAACGCAUUAAGUACCCCGCCUGGGGAGUACGGCCGCAAGGCUAAAACUCAAAGAAAUUGACGGGGGCCCGCACAAGCGGCGGAGCAUGUGGAUUAAUUCGAUGCAACGCGAAGAACCUUACCUGGGUUUGACAUGCACAGGACGCCGGCAGAGAUGUCGGUUCCCUUGUGGCCUGUGUGCAGGUGGUGCAUGGCUGUCGUCAGCUCGUGUCGUGAGAUGUUGGGUUAAGUCCCGCAACGAGCGCAACCCUUGUCUCAUGUUGCCAGCGGGUAAUGCCGGGGACUCGUGAGAGACUGCCGGGGUCAACUCGGAGGAAGGUGGGGAUGACGUCAAGUCAUCAUGCCCCUUAUGUCCAGGGCUUCACACAUGCUACAAUGGCCGGUACAAAGGGCUGCGAUGCCGCGAGGUUAAGCGAAUCCUUUUAAAGCCGGUCUCAGUUCGGAUCGGGGUCUGCAACUCGACCCCGUGAAGUCGGAU